AUCCCACAUUUGUUGAGUAAGCUCGGGUACAGUGAGUGCCCUGUACUGCUGGGAACCACGAGAUGUGAGAGGAGCAAAACCCACCAUGAAAAAGUGGAGACGAGGGAAGGGAAUGAGAUUAACAGCCAGCUUUCUGAGAUCGGAGUUGAGUUGUCCAGGGAAUCUCAAACAGCAAGUCACACCGGACAUUGUUGCAGAGAUCAAAUGGUUCAAAUCACCAAAGCUUGGAGUGGUGAGCUUAAGGGUACGAAAGCAGAUAUCAUAGAGAGCUUCAUUGUCGAGG
rnacentral:misc_RNA from 1 species